UCAACUGUAUAAUUCCCUUUCUCUGCAACUACAGGUCUGAUGGUGCCAACAACAACAUCUGAAAAGAAACAACCUGAAGAUAAAGACAUCC